rnacentral:rRNA from 1 species
AGGGCACCACCAGGAGUGGAGCCUGCGGCUUAAUUUGACUCAACACGGGAAAACUCACCCGGCCCGGACACUGGAAGGAUUGACAGAUUGAGAGCUCUUUCUUGAUUCAGUGGGUGGUGGUGCAUGGCCGUUCUUAGUUGGUGGAGUGAUUUGUCUGGUUAAUUCCGAUAACGAACGAGACUCUAGCCUACUAAAUAGAUCGUCGGCUUACAAACGCCGGCGAGACUUCUUAGAGGGACAGGCGGUGAUUCAACCGCACGAAACAGAGCAAUAACAGGUCUGUGAUGCCCUUAGAUGUCCGGGGCCGCACGCGCGCUACACUGAAGUGAUCAGCGUGCUUUUUCAACCUACUCUGUCAAGAGUGGGGAACCCAAUGAACCUUCUUCGUGAUUGGGAUAGGGGAUUGUAAUUAUUCCCCUUGAACGAGGAAUUCCCAGUAAGCGCGAGUCAUAAGCUCACGUUGAUUACGUCCCUGCCCUUUGUACACACCGCCCGUCGCUACUACCGAUUGAAUGUUUU